rnacentral:rRNA from 1 species
CAGGAUACCAAAACCAGUUAAACUCCGAAUGCCUCGGAUCCCAUUAUCCCGGCAGUCAGUCGGCGAGUGAUAAGAUCCGUCGUCGAAAGGGAAACAACCCAGACCAUCGGCUAAGGUGCCCAAAUACCGCUCAGUGGUAAGGAUGUGACGUUACACAGACAGUGAGGAUGUUGGCUUAGAAGCAGCCACCAUUUAAACAGUGCGUAACAGCUGACUCAUCGAGUGACGUUGCGCCGAAAAUGAUUGGCGAUCAAGCGGUAUACCGAAGCCAUGGAUGUCUUCGGACAUGGUAGAAGAGCGUAGUCAGGCCAUCGAAGCUUUCCUGUGAAGGGGGGUGGAGGGCUGACUAGUGAGAAUGCAGACAUGAGUAGCGAUAAACAAAGUGAGAAUCUUUGUCUCCGUAAACCCAAGGUUUCCUGGGCCAGGCUCGUCCCCCCAGGGUUAGUCGGGACCUAAGGCGAGGCCGAAAGGCGUAGUCGAUGGAUAACAGGUUAAUAUUCCUGUACCAAGGUACAAUAUGGGACGCAUGAUGAAGGAUGGCACACACUAUGAUAUGUGAUUCUAGGCUUCGGCCGAAAUACGCCAUUUGGAUUUGUGCCGAGAAAACCGUACCGGCCCGUACCGUAUACCGACACAGGUAGGUGAGUCGAAUAGACUAAGGAGCGCGAGAGAAAUCUCUCCAAGGAACUCGGCAAAUUAGCCCCGUAACCUCGGGAGAAGGGGUGCCCACUUCGGUGGGCCACAGUAAAUUGGGACUGGCGACUGUUUACCAAAAACACAGCUCUCUGCUAAGUCGUGAAGACGACGUAUAGGGAGUGACACGUGACCAAUGCGGAAAGAUUAAGGUGACUUGUUAGCACUUGAUGCGAAGCUCGGAGCCCAAGUCCCCGUGAAUGUCGGCCGUAACUAUAACGGUCCUAAGGUAGCGAAAUUCCUUGUCGGGUAAGUUCCGACCUGCACGAAUCGUGCAACGACCGGUCCGCUGUCUCGGAGAGAAUCUCGGCGAAGUUGUAAUUGCGGUGAAGAUGCCGCAUACCCGCAGUAGGACGGAAAGACCCUGUGCACCUUUACUGUAAGCAAGUAUUGUGUUCUGAUUAGUGAUACGUAGAGUAGGUGGGAGACUUUGAAGUGAUGGCUUAGGUUGUCAUGGAGUCGCAAUGUGAAACACCACUUUUUAUUAAUUAGGAUUCUAACACUGAUUCCUCUGAAGCGAGGCAGUGGACAGUGCUUGCGGGUCAGUUUGACUGGGGCGGUUUCCUCCCAAAGAGUAACGGAGGAGCACUAAGGUACCUUCAGCAUGGUUAGCAACCAUGCGUCGAGCGUAUGCGUAGAAGGGUGCUUGACUGUGAGACCAA